GCAUUACUGAAGAGUCCCAUAAUAGGAUGAAAUGGUCGUCCGGUGC
rnacentral:hammerhead_ribozyme from 1 species